rnacentral:piRNA from 1 species
UAGUUGCUAGAUCAAUUUGUACACACGGUC